rnacentral:rRNA from 1 species
CUAAGUUUGAUGGCGACCGGCGCACGGGUGAGUAACACGUAUCCAACCUGCCGAUGACUCGGGGAUAGCCUUUCGAAAGAAAGAUUAAUACCCGAUGGCAUAGUUCUUCCGCAUGGUGGAACUAUUAAAGAAUUUCGGUCAUCGAUGGGGAUGCGUUCCAUUAGGUUGUUGGCGGGGUAACGGCCCACCAAACCUUCGAUGGAUAGGGGUUCUGAGAGGAAGGUCCCCCACAUUGGAACUGAGACACGGUCCAAACUCCUACGGGAGGCAGCAUG